rnacentral:rRNA from 1 species
CCUACGGGAGGCUGCAGUGGGGAAUAUUGGACAAUGGGGGCAACCCUGAUCCAGCCAUGCCGCGUGUGUGAAGAAGGCCCUCGGGUUGUAAAGCACUUUCAGUGAGGAAGAACGCCUGGUGGUUAAUACCCAUCAGGAAAGACAUCACUCACAGAAGAAGCACCGGCUAACUCCGUGCCAGCAGCCGCGGUAAUACGGAGGGUGCGAGCGUUAAUCGGAAUUACUGGGCGUAAAGCGCGCGUAGGUGGCUUGAUAAGCCGGUUGUGAAAGCCCCGGGCUCAAACUGGGAACGGCAUCCGGAACUGUCAAGCUAGAGUGCAGGAGAGGAAGGUAGAAUUCCCGGUGUAGCGGUGAAAUGCGUAGAGAUCGGGAGGAAUACCAGUGGCGAAGGCGGCCUUCUGGACUGACACUGACACUGAGGUGCGAAAGCGUGGGUAGCAGACAGGAUUAGAUACCCGAGUAGUC